UACGUAGGGUCCGAGCGUUGUCCGGAAUUACUGGGCGUAAAGAGCUCGUAGGUGGUUUGUCGCGUUGUUCGUGAAAACCUGAGGCUUAACCUUGGGCGUGCGGGCGAUACGGGCAGACUGGAGUACUGCAGGGGAGACUGGAAUUCCUGGUGUAGCGGUGGAAUGCGCAGAUAUCAGGAGGAACACCGGUGGCGAAGGCGGGUCUCUGGGCAGUAACUGACGCUGAGGAGCGAAAGCGUGGGGAGCGAACAGG
rnacentral:rRNA from 1 species